CGCGAUUGUUCUGUCGGCGGUUAUAUAUGCUUAUCUCAAAGGCUAAGCCAGAUGCAUGUCCUAAGUUCAAAUGGCACUAUAUAAAGGAUGAAACCGCGAACGGCUCAUUACAACAGCUUAUUAUAAUAUCUUGAUCUCUGAUAUCCUACGUGAGGAUAACUGUUGGUAAUUCUGAGAGCUAAUACAUGCCACCAAAGCUCCGAUUUUCUGAGGCACUACUACGAUGAUAAUAAAACCAAUCGGGUUUCGGCCGGCUUAAUUGGUGACUCUGAAUAAACUAUAGGCUGAUCGCAUGGUCUCGAACCGGCGGAGUAUGUAGCGCACGUCGUCCUCGCUCUGUUGCACUUUAUAACUGUCGAUGGUAGUUUAUUGCCAACCAUGGUUGUAACGGGUAACGGAGAAUAAGGUUCGACUCCGGAUGAGAGGAGCCUGAGAAAUGGCUACCACAUCCAGAGAAGGGCAGCAGGCCGCGCAAAUUACCUCACUCGUCGGCAUGAGGAGUAGUGAACGAAAAAUAACGAGACCGUUCUCUAUGAGGCGGUUAUCGGGAAUGGGUACAAUUUAAAACCCGUUAACGAGGAACAUGUGAGAGGGCAAGUCUGGUGCCAGCAGCCGCGGGUAAUUCCAGCUCCUCAAAGUGUAAUAUCGUCAUGUGGGCUUGUUAAAAAGCUCGUAGUUGGAUCUGCGGCCUCAGGAUCUGUCCGCCCACUGGCGCGAGAACUGGGCUCCUGGCUGAGUUCUGGUGGUUUUCCCUACGUUUGCCUUCCAUCGGUCGUUGCCGUUCUAAGUGGUGGCUAGCGAGAGUUUUUCUUUGAAAAAAUUUAGAGUGCUUGAAAUCCGCCGGGCUUAUGUCUGAAUACUUCUGUGCAUGGAAUAAUUAGAAUAGGAUCUCGGUUCUAUUUUGUUGGUUUUCUGAUCUGAGAUAAAUGGUUAAGGGAGGGACGGGGGGCAUUCGUAUCGCUGCGUGAGAGGUGAAUUCUUGGACCGUAGCGAGACGUCCGACUGCGAAAGGAUUUGCCAGAGAAUGUCUUCAUUAAUCAAGAACGGAAAGUCAGAGGUUCGAAGGCGAUCAGAUACCGCCCUUAGUUCUGACCGUAAACGAAUACCAAACUAGCGUUCGUCGAGCGGUAAAUAUGCCUUGUGACGGUAGCUUUCCCGCGAAACGAAAAGUCUUUCGGUUCCGGGGGGAAGUAUGGUUGCAAAGCUGAAACUUAAAGAAAUUGACGGGAAGGGCACCACCGAGGAGUGGAGCCUGCGGCUUAAUUUGACUCAACACGGAAAACUCACCUGGCCCGGACACCGUAAGUGAUUGGACAGGAUUGAGGAGCUCUUUCUUNNNNNNNNNNNNNNNNNNNNNNNNNACGUUUAAAGUGCCGGCUGUAUCAACUAUAAAUAUCAAUAAUAUCUCAUUGGAUGAUGUAUACUACAAAUUAUUCCACUUCAUUACGUUCGUCAGCGGUAAUUCAUCCACGCACGUUCGAAAAACAAACAAGCCCUUAUUCACCGUCAUUUCUCUCCUCCUACUAUCUCUUCAAUAAAGCGCAGACAAUCGCCGUCCACUUUUCCAAAUACAAAAUGCUUCAGCGGACCAUAAAUCGCCCUCGCCGCUUCAUUUUUGUGGCUUUUCAACCACCUGAUUCUCUACUUUCGUUGAGACGUCGACGCAUAUCAAUACACGGGACCGUUAUAGAACCAUCGCCAUCCACUCUGCUUCGUUAACUACGUCCUACGAAAUGCCAAACGGUUACUAAUGCUUCUCGCAAUAACGAUCAACGUUUAGUGCUCGGAGCUGAUCAAAAUCUGAAAAUUCAAUUAAGAUAUUCAU
rnacentral:rRNA from 1 species